AGCAGGGCUCGAACUUGUGAACUGCAAGAUCAUGACCUGAGCCAAAGAUCAGAUGCUUAACCAACUGAGCCACCCAGCCACCCCUGUCAAGGCUUCCUAACGUAUGGGACAUAAGGAAGUGGUGUGGAGUGCAUCCUUGGGGGUGUUCCAGAAGAGGACACCAAAGGCAGAAAGAAGCUCCUUCAGCUCUUGCUUGUUUUGUUAAUGGGUAUUCACUGACAUGUAAUACUCUAUCAUCCAUAAAAUGCAUCCAUAGACAUUUUCCAUUUGACUUCCUACUUCCAUUUCCAUUUGACAAUCCUACUGAGGAUGAAAAGAAUCAACUGAUGACAACAAAUGUGUGGCUCAAACAGGUGACACUGUUUAUGGACAGCAAGAGUGGACUUCUGUUUGAAGGCUUGCCCACAUAUGUCGCAUUCAAAGGGGUCCUCUGAUGUGUGAAUUCUAUGAUGUCGAAC